UACGGAGGGGGCUAGCGUUGUCCGAAGUUACUGGGCGUAAAGCGCGCGUAGGCGGGUUGGUAAGUCCGCUGUGAAAGCCCGGAGCUUAACUCCGGAGGGUCGGUGGAUACUGCCAGUCUUGAAGGUGCUAGGGGGAGAUGGAAUUACCGGUGUAGCGGUGAAAUGCGUAGAUAUCGGUAGGAACACCAGUGGCGAAGGCGACUUCUUGGCCUGUUCUUGACGCUGAGGCGCGAAAGCUGGGGGAGCAAACGGG
rnacentral:rRNA from 1 species